CUAUAAUUGAGUAGUACAUGGUUGAGAGUAUCCAUAGAGACUGUCAAUUUUAUCUUUCCUAGACUAAUUUUUCUUGAGUAAUCUGUUCAACCUCAGCUCCACCUGCAACCUUUCAACUGCUGUUUUUGUUUUCUUGUUUGUGUGGCUUCAGCAUUAAAAUUUUAGAUGUCUCUAAUGUAACUCUUAACUUCUUUUUGAACAUUAGGAAUACAAGGCGCAAUGGCUUUGGCCGGGCGGUUUAUAUGCUCCAUCUCCAGGAUUGAUUGCAGUCAAUCUAAAAUUAAAUGCCAUGGUUGAUGGAUUGGGAUAUGCAGCUCAUCCAAUUAUGGCUCUUCUCUUCAUACUAGAUCCUGGUACAAAAGGUGGCAGAUGAAGAAGAUAUAUUCUCCACUUCUGGCGCUGUAUCUCGGAUUCGAAUGGAUCCAAACAGACAAAAUUCUGGCACCCAUCAUAAUACACAGGAUAUACUCGUCUGUGGUUCUGGGUCAUGGCCUCUGGAAAAUACACGACUGUCAAUGGAUGCUAUGCCAGAGAUUCACAAGCUCAAAAGCUCAAGGCAAAUCUUCGAGGAAGCUGUAAAGAUCCAACCCAACUUGUAGUACAUAAUAGUGUUCCACAACAUAUCUGUUUGAUCACUUCUAUGCAUAUAGUGAUGCAUACUAAUCUUCUUGUACAUAAGAAAUUAGGAAAAUUAGCCUUCUGUUAUGGAAUAAAAAUACUUUUUCUUGGAGUUUUUAACAUGUAUAGAUAGGCGAAUAAUGAACUUAUGCAAUAUGUUGU